rnacentral:lncRNA from 1 species
GCGUGUAUGAUCUUCACCUUAAGGAUGCGGCAAAGGUGGUGUUUGAUGCGGGAUUUCGCUGCUUCAAGGGUCUUGGUGACUUAAUCUUGAAAUGAACAUUGCUACAAGUUUAUAAGCUUGCAACAAAGUCUUGAAGGAAUUGGCACAAGCGCUUGUUGAUUCUUCAAGGAAGUGCUUUGACUUUGGUUGAAUGUUCUUCGAAGAGAGCUUUGGCAGCGUAUUAGUCUUCAAAGGUUUGGCAAAGGUUCUUUUGUGUAGAGAUUUUUCGACCCUUAUGCUUGUGGGAUGACCUUGUAUUUAUAGGCUUCUCAAGGCUUGCCUUUGGGUGGAUUUGGCCUUGAUUUGUGUCUUGAUUCGUCCAUGAGAGAAUUUAGGCAUGUUUUGUGUCAUAAUUUCAGCCACUUUACUCAUUUGGCCGAAAUUAUGAGGCCUUGUUGCCUAUUUUGUGAGCAAUCUUUAAUUCUUGCUUGUUUUAUGAAGAUGCCUUAACUUUAUUUCCGAUUUUGAGAGCAAUUUGGGCCUUUUUGCCAAAUUUAAAGGAGUUUUCUCCCUUUAGCCGAAUUUUGGGAAUAUUUUAUACUUCCCUUACUUGAUUUGUGCCACAUGUCAUUAAUGACUUGUCCAUUUGUGAUGAGUCAUAUGCCAUGUGGAGCUGUGCAAUGCAUUUUUUGUAUGCAACGAAAUUUACAUGUCUACAAAUUCCCCACUUCAAGGCACGUUGUAGGCAUGUGCUUGUCACAUGUAGGAAACAUGUUUUGAAGUCCUGCAAUGUGAAUGUUCUAACUCAAGGGUCAUCGAGACUUGGUCUUGAACAAGUUUGUUUCUUCAAGGGCCAUAGAGGCGUAUUUCUUGAAUCGAGACGAUGAAUUUUGUCAAGGGCCGUUAAGGCGUGUUUCUUGAACAAAACAUUUCUUCAAGGGCUAUUGAGGCUUGAUCUUGAAUUGAAAUGACAUUGUUCAAGGGUCGUAGAGACUUGAUCUUGAAUGAAGUGAUGGAUUUCGUCAAGGGCCGUUGAAGCUUGAUCUUGAAUUGUAAUGAAAGUUUUCUUCAAGGGCCGUAGAGGCUUGAUCUUGAAUGAAGACUGAAGUGAUGGAUUUUUUCAAGGGCCGUAGAGACUUGAUCUUGAACGAAACAUUUCUUCAAGGGCCGUUGAGGCUUGGUCUUGAAUAGAAAUGAAUUUUUUUUUCUUCAAGGGUUAUAGAUGCUUGAUCUUGAAAGAAAUUUAAAAAAUGGAUAAAUCGGCACAUACUUAUUGUACGUAGUUGAUUUUCCAUAAUCUUUGACAAAAUGCAUUUGGUGCAUUUUGAAUUUUUCCUUGUGGUUGUAGGAAAAAUGUUUUCCUUCCUUCAAUAGGAAUCCCCUUCAAUUUUGGUAACGAGGGUGACUUUCUUCAAAGUGUUGGAAAGCUUUUGAUGAUUUCCUUUAAGGUUUUGGAAAGUUUUAACGCUUGUCCUUGAGUGAGUAGGAUGUGUAUUUUCCUUUCCCUUUUUCCUUCCCAUGGCAAAGAGGGUAUUUUUCUUUCUUCUUUUGUUUUCCACAGCAAGGAAGGAGUCUUUUUUUCUUCCUUGUUUUGAUUUUCCACGGAGAGGAAGGAGUCUUUCUUCCUUAUUUUUGUUUUCCCACGGCAAGGAAGGAGCCUUUCUUCCUUGUUUUGAUUUUCUACAGCAAGGGGGAAGUAUUUUUUUAUUCCCCUUUUGAUUUCCCAUGGCAAGGAGGUAUCCUGCUUUCCUUUUUUGUUUUUGUUUUGGGAAACAUGUCGUCUGACUUGCACGCCAAGUUUGAGCUUGAUUUAUCUUCUGGAAAAUUCUGAAACAAUAUGGAAAAUGUAGGUUUAUCCCUUAUCUUUCCAGGCAUAUAUCGCAUGCCACUAGGAAAAAUCGGGAAGCCUUCAACUUUGCAUUUUCCUACAGCUGCGCAAUCCUGACGGGAAAUCAACUUCUGCGGGAAUGAUUUUGAAAAAUGGAACGUUUGGCUUUAGGGAAAAUUAUGAAAUUUGGACACAAUGAUCCUCAGCCACUUAGCUUCCUUCUCCAAUUGUCCUUGCAUCCAAAUUCUUCCGGAAAGUUAAAUUAUCAUAAAAAACGUCCUGCCUGCGCAGAUUGGCUGUAACUUGCCAUUUUUGCUUGGAAUUUGCUUCCUUCUUUUGGUGGGAAUGUGCUUCCUUGUUUUGAUUUUCCUUUUGCUAUUCGGCUAUGUAUUUCCCUUAUAGCAUUAGGAAGCAAUUGACCCUAUAUAUAGGACAAUUGGGUGUGCAUUUUUUUUUACACACACAAUUGCUUGCCGUGGACUACCUUGAAGCUUUUGCCGUGGGUUUGCUGCUGCUGCCAUGCCCUUUUUGCCGUUUGGAGCUUGUUGCAACGUGUCACUUUUACAGUGUGGGGUUGUGCAAAAGAUUGCAGCGAGUUUAUGUUGUGUAGUGCCUUUUGGUCACAACUUGGCAUUGUUGUUGGAGCAGUUAUGUUUUUAUUUAAUAUAUGUGUAUAUAUAUAUUUAUGAUUUGUUUAAUUAGAAACAUUAAAUAUAUAUAACUGUCAUUAGGAGUAAUUUUUAUUCGUAAAUAUAUUGGAGACAUUGUCAAUUAGGAGUAAUUUCCAUUCUUAAUUAUAUAGGAGACGUGAGGAAGUUUAUUACUUCAACAAAUUUGAAAUGCCUUCUCUGAAUAGAGAAGAAGAUCACGUCCACCUCCAUAUAUAAUCUAUCCGUUUUGAUUUUUAUGUUUUGGUUUAUUCCGGAUUUCUAGUCCCUAAUUUAUAAAUCCUUCAAUGUCUAUUUCUUUAGUUUGUAUAUAAAUACAAGUCCUGAGUAUCGAUAAUAUAUAUAUAUA